GAUGAACGCUGGCGGCGUGCCUAAUACAUGCAAGUCGAGCGAACAGACGAGGAGCUUGCUCCUCUGACGUUAGCGGCGGACGGGUGAGUAACACGUGGAUAACCUACCUAUAAGACUGGGAUAACUUCGGGAAACCGGAGCUAAUACCGGAUAAUAUAUUGAACCGCAUGGUUCAAUAGUGAAAGACGGUUUUGCUGUCACUUAUAGAUGGAUCCGAGCCGCAUUAGCUAGUUGGUAAGGUAACGGCUUACCAAGGCAACGAUGCGUAGCCGACCUGAGAGGGUGAUCGGCCACACUGGAACUGAGACACGGUCCAGACUCCUACGGGAGGCAGCAGUAGGGAAUCUUCCGCAAUGGGCGAAAGCCUGACGGAGCAACGCCGCGUGAGUGAUGAAGGUCUUCGGAUCGUAAAACUCUGUUAUUAGGGAAGAACAAAUGUGUAAGUAACUAUGCACGUCUUGACGGUACCUAAUCAGAAAGCCACGGCUAACUACGUG
rnacentral:rRNA from 1 species